GACGAACCGAGCGAACGUUGUUCGGAAUCACUGGGCUUAAAGGGCGCGUAGGCGGGUGAUCAAGUCCGUGGUGAAAUCCUCCGGCUCAACCGGAGAACUGCCUCGGAUACUGGGCGCCUCGAGGGUGGUAGGGGUAUGCGGAACUAUCGGUGGAGCGGUGAAAUGCGUUGAUAUCGAUAGGAACUCCGGUGGCGAAGGCGGCAUACUGGACCACCUCUGACGCUGAGGCGCGAAAGCCAGGGGAGCAAACGGG
rnacentral:rRNA from 1 species